GGAAAAGAGAAAACGUAGAAGGAAGAUAUGUGUGAAGGAAGGAAUUGAAAGAAAAUAAAGGUACUGGACGACAGGAAGAAGGACAAAGAAAGUUGAGGAGUUAUCCGUGGCCUGGAGCUGAACAGGACGGGAGGAGAAUGGGAGGAGCAAGAAAGGAGGGAGGAAGAAGCACCAGGAUGAAGGUGGGAAGCGAAGAGAUACAAAGAAGAGAGAGAGAGCAGGAAAGAGUUGUGAGGAGGAAAAGUGAGGUGGAAAAAAGAAAAGACGAACAGGGAAAACAGGUGAUCAUCCACCUCUGCCUCAACUCUAACUGUGACCCUGACCCAGACCGUUGGACUUUCCAGGGCCUCUAGGCAUGCUCAGUAACUCAUCGACCCCUGGAUCAUGUUUCGGCAGAAAGGAUGGUUUCCCAGAGCCAGCGCACCAGCUCCAUACAGCGAUACUCGCAACUCUGCUCCUACUUUAGCUAACAUCACAACAGCAGCAUAUCUUGGCAAACUAGAAAGUUAGCUAAAUGUCCGUGGCUGUCUUCCAUUGCAAUUGUUUAAUAGCACCUGACUGGA